GAAUAUGUGUUAAUUAUGUUUGUUUUAAAACAAAUGUUGCUCUUCAAAACAUGAGUCUAAAGUGGGGUGGGGAUACAAUCACUUUCCCCCUUGUCUACAUUUUCUGUAGUUUCAGUUAUGCACAGUCAAUUUCUGUCAGGAUGAAUUAAAUAGAAAAUUUCAGAAAUAAAUUAUUCAUAAUUUUUAGUUGCAUGCAGCUCUGAGCAGUGUGAUGAUAUGUCCUGAAGUUUCACUCCAUUCUGCCUGGGAUAUGAAUUACCCCUUGUCCAGUGUAUCCAUGUUGUAUGCACCACCCACCAUUAGUUGCUUAGUAACCAUCUUUGUGAUCAGAUUCACUCUCAGAAUAUUAUAGUGUUUGUGUUUAAAUAGCCCUAUUUUUCUUAAUAAGGUCCCCAAAGAUGCAAGAGUAGUAAUCUUGAUAAUUUUAUUAUUAUGUGCUAUUAUACUUGGUCUAUUUUAUUGUUAGUUAUUGGUGUUAAUCUCUUAUAAUGCCUUCAGAAUAUAGAGCCCUCCCAUUUCUGGUGACUGUGAAUACUGUGAGCCUGAGAAAAGGACCCUCAGUCCCCAUUUUCCUUCAGCCCCCAACCUCCAGUAUUUCUCACGCUGACCUGGUUGGGUUUGGCUGUAUGUGCAUUUGGUGUGUAUGUGUAUGCAGAGUUUUUCCUCCCUGGUGGAGAGGGUUAGGUGGUGCCACUUGGAACUGAGUCUUUGACACUGAUAAAGAUCCUUCCUGCUAUUGGUGCGGAUCUUAGCUUAAGUAGAAAAAUAUUUUUUUUUUUCUCCAUGGGCAUUUUAGGCCUAGCCUUGGAAAACAGCUUGUAAUGUUGUAAUUCCAACUCCUGGAAAAAUUUCCUGCCUUGACUGUUAUAUUUAUGCCCUUCCUUUCCCUGCUCAGAAUGUCUGUGAGCUGUUCUGGGGUAUCAGGUAUCUUGCAUUACAGAUACUGCCCAAUGUUUGGACAAGCAUCCUGAGAAGUGUCCCAAAGAAUUUACUCAAUGUUUCCUAAUUUUUUGAGCAGGCAGAACAAAACCCAUAGAAAAAUCCAUUGAUUUAUAGCAUCUAUAUACCCUGUCACUUUCUCAUUUUUUUUUCUUUUUUUUCUCCUUGUAUUUACAAAUUGGAGUAUUUGGAAUUUCUUGCCAUAAUGAAUAGAUUGUGUGUACUUAGUUGUGUAUGGUUUCUGUAAUUUGCUUGUUAAAUGCACUGAAUAUUGUUAUCCUUAACCUUACUUUUUGAGACAACUAUACUUUUAUUGUAAUCCUGAGGAUAAUUCUUUGGGUCUCCUUUCAUUGCAUCUUCUACGUGUUAAAUUUUAACUUGCCCUUGGCACAGUCUAGUUGUAAGUAUGUGAGUUUGGGCAUUGUACUGAAAAUGAAUUGGAAGUUAAAUUUUGGUCCAUAAAAAUGCAGAAAAAUUUGCUUUGUGUUGCUUAUUUCACAUCAGAGAAGAAAGUUUGUACAGAAAACAGGAAAAAAAAACAGUGUGCAGAUACUGCCCAAUGUAUUUGGUAGAACAGUAGGUUUACAUUUACUGUCAGUAUUUUACUUCCUGACAUCUGUAAACACCUGGUUGCAAGUUAAAACAUGAUUAGGUAUAACACUACAGUCCUCGUAUCAUGGUUAACCUUAAUGGCCCCUUUUGGAAGGUCUGUCUACAUCCUGG
rnacentral:lncRNA from 1 species